GUUAUUGCUGUUGAUUAUAACGAGCAAUCUAUUUACAUUUACUCGCGCGCCGCUCUAUCAUACACUGAUUGUUGAAACGAAUUCAGUUUUGUGUUAUUCGUCGGUACGUUUAGACGCGUCUAUAUCCGCAGGAUUACUAUAGCGCGCGUUUUAAAUGAAAAAUCUUAUUGUAUUACAAAUUAAAGAAAAUCCAACCAAAGAAAAAUAUAAAUUUAUUUAGAAAAAAAAAAUUUAUUAAUAAAAAAAAUGAAAACGACAAAAAUUUUACGAAAAUCGAUUAAAAUCUAAGAAAAAUUAACGAAAUUUAAAAAAAUCACGAAAUCUUGGAAAACCUAAAAAAUUAUUUAACAAGUGGGAAAAAGCUGCUGAAGCAUUUUCAAAGCCCUUGCUUUAAAAAAAAGUGAGUGUUUUUGGGUUUUAGUGUUUUUAAACAAAAAAAUAUAAUACUCAACUUGGGAUUACCUUAAAAAAUUUAAAGUUUUUAAACAAAAAAACUAAAGGAUUUGUUAAGAAAAAGUAAAGAAAAUCGAAAAAAAUCCUAAUAAGAAUAUCUGCUAUAAAAAUUCAACAACAGCAAAGCAGCAUUAAAUUCAUCUUCAGCAAAUAUUUGCCAAUAUUCAAGCAAUAAAAUGUUAAAUAUAAAAACAAAACGAAAAAAUGGCAGUAAAUAAGUAAAACUAUGUAUAAAUAUUAAUUAAACAUUUAAUUAAUAGCACAACCUAUACAUAAAUACACACAGAAAUAUUUGUUUAAAAAGGACCCUCUUAUUAAACAUUUAAAUACACUGAGCGUUAAAAGAAAACAAACACACACACACACCCUGAUAUACCAGAUUAUUAAUUAAUUAUUAAGCAUUUUUUGUGCUUAAAAGGCACAAAAAUGCUGCACUUUUAUUAUUUGUUUAAAAACAAAGGAUAAAAACGUUAAAAUAAACAAAUAAAUAAAUAAAUAACAUGAAUUGCAUUUCAUAAAAAGUAAAAUAAAUAAUAAAAAAAUUCCUUCCCGUUUACGCCAUUAAAUUCUUUUAAAAAAAGCGAAAAAAAAGAUGAUUUAAAUUAAAUACAAAAGAAAUUAUUAUUAACCACAAAUGAAAAACGGUUUAAUUUAACCAAAACACACAUACAAAUGGAUGGAUGGCUACAAUGCAUUCAAACAAACCAAUAAUAUUAUAAAACAAUUUCAACAGUAUUUACCUUUCAACAAAAACCAUUUAAAUUGAAAUAAUAUUAAUAAAACA